ensembl:lncRNA
CCCCCACAACGAAAAUUUGACAUCUUUUUCACAUGCAGAUGUCAUGUGCUGUUGUAAACAAUGCAACUGGUGGGUAGUGGAGGUGGCAAGGUGCUCAGUGUUGCCAGAUUGGAAAUGGCGAAGUAUCGUACCAAAGGCUCCAAAUGAUCGUAUUUGGAGGAUAUAUAUCGUACGUCUGGCAACACUGAGGAGGCGGUCGACCAAUGACAGUUCUCUCUCUCUACAGUCAGAGCUUGCGCAAGAAGGUGGAACGUAAGGGAGAUACCUUUUCUAAAACUUGUAAGGGCGUAAUAACUAGUUUGUGAAAGACCCAGAGAAACACAAAUAUCCGACAAAGGCAAAAUCCCGGACGAUUAGGACGUCUGGUCAUCCUAGUUUUGUACUGAUUAAUGCUUUCUUCUAGUGAUUGAGAUGUGCGCUAACAUUGUUUGUUUGAUUCUGUUUAUGUAGAACCACACACUCACACCCUCACUUACCUGUUCUUAAUAAUAAACGUCAUUGAAGAUAUCAUCUGUGCAUUCUUACCGAUGCACCACAGUGGCCACACCCUCCUUCCCAACCAGCUACAGUUACAGUUCAAUGUAUUAAGUUAUUGAGCCCUCAUUAUAAUUGGGGAUUAGAUCAACAUCACAUCACACCACCUCAGUGAGUAGGAAAAAAAGGUCAGAUUUCAACAUCACAUCACACCCCCUCAAUAAGUUUGAUGAUUGCAUCUUUUCUCUGUUGUUCCUCAAUUGCAUAUCACUUUGGAAAAUAAUGUGUCUGGUAAAUGACUGAAUGUAAAUGUAAAAUACACUGUUCUGUAAAUGCUCGGGAGUUACCAACCAAAAGUGCUUGUCUCACAUCCUUCAGAAUAGGUGCAGAUUCCUGGGGGACCAGUAGGUCCCUCCUGGCCAGGUGAUCCACUAGUGCCAGGGGGUCCACUGGCUCCACGGGGUCCAUCUUUUCCAGGGGGUCCACUCUCUCCACGGGUUCCUUGGGGUCCACUGGCUCCACUGGCUCCAACAGAUCCUCUGGCUCCAGGGAAUCCACUGGUUCCAGGGGGUCCACGAGGUCCAGGGGGUCCAGGGGGUCCAGGGGGUCCAGUUGUAAUUUGUCCAUCAGACACUUGAAUCACACACACAUGAAGCAUGAAUAGAAACAAAGACACAGAUCUAGACAUAAUGUGAAUCAGGAUCAUAGCC